rnacentral:rRNA from 1 species
GAUGAACGCUGGCUACAGGCUUAACACAUGCAAGUCGAGGGGAAACGACGGGGAAGCUUGCUUCCCCGGGCGUCGACCGGCGCACGGGUGAGUAACGCGUAUCCAACCUGCCUCUGACUGAGGGAUAACCCGUCGAAAGUCGGCCUAAUACCUCAUGGCUUCGUCUGCGGGCAUCCAACGACGAUUAAAGAUUUCAUCGGUCAGAGAUGGGGAUGCGUCUGAUUAGCUUGUUGGCGGGGUAACGGCCCACCAAGGCGACGAUCAGUAGGGGUUCUGAGAGGAAGGUCCCCCACAUUGGAACUGAGACACGGUCCAAACUCCUACGGGAGGCAGCAGUGAGGAAUAUUGGUCAAUGGGCGAGAGCCUGAACCAGCCAAGUAGCGUGCAGGAUGACGGCCCUAUGGGUUGUAAACUGCUUUUAUGCGGGGAUAAAGUGAGGGACGUGUCCUUCAUUGCAGGUACCGCAUGAAUAAGGACCGGCUAAUUCCGUG